GAUAAGCAAGGGGUUAAAUUUCAAAUGUAUAAGACAGCAAUUUAUUUGGGGUAAUCAAUCAAUUAAAUUAAAUGGUAAAAGUCUUGUUUUUCCAAACUGGAUAGAAAGUGACAUUCUUUUUAUUAAUGAUAUCAUAGAUAAACAAGGAAAUAUCUCCCAAAAAGUAAUCUUAAAUAAAUUGAAAGAAAAAUCAAACUGGAUAGCAGAACUUUCUAAACUGAAAUCUGCAAUCAAAAAGGAAUGGAAACUCAUGUUAAAAUCAAAUCAAUCAAUUUCAACUAAAGUUCAAAUAGACAGAAAUCUUUACUUAGAAACAAAAAACAAAGCCAAAUCAAUUUGC
rnacentral:lncRNA from 1 species